AGAAGCAGCAGGAUGAGAGAAGUGGUAGCCCUGUACAGCUUUCUAAGUUUUUAGGGCGUGACAAGGACGAUGGUGUGCGUCGCAGCGCAGUUUCGGGGAAAAAGAUCUUAUUGAAACUUGAGAAAUCAAAGGAGGACAAGGAGGCAGAAAGUAAAAGGAAUGAAUUGCUGAAAUUCUUGAAUGCUAGUUUUGAUUGAUUUAGAGGAGCUCUACAACAAGAUUCUAAGAUCAACUGGUGAAUCAUCAGAAUCAUCUUGUGCUU
rnacentral:misc_RNA from 1 species